UUGUCUGUAUUAUUUUUAUAUCAAAUUUAGACUUAGUAAUUUUACAGAGUUUGUCUGUAUUAUUUUUAUAUUAAAUUUGGACUUGGUAAUUUUACAGAAAGACAGUCAGUAUUUUUUGUAUCAAAUUUGAUUUUAGUACAUUUACAGAAAAUUCCAUAUAUUUGGUCUCUAUUUCUUUUUGUUGUUAGGGGGGGGGGGGGUAAAUUUAGACAUAUUUUCUAUUUACAUUUGUCUCUAUGAACUUUAGAAAUUUUAGAGAAAUUCCUUGCAAAAUGUCUGCUGCUUUUUUUAUAAGUUUAUAGCAUACCCGGUACUUAGAAAAUUAUAUAUUUUUUUCAGGAAUCUUGGUAUCCAAUUAUAUAGAACUUAGAUAAUUAAUUGGUACAAAAAUUUAUGUUAAUCUCAAUCAGUGGUAAUCCAGAGACAUAUUUCCGUCUUGGGCAUGAAGAUUUUACAGCGGGUUUACAUUGACUUUUCAGCGGGUUUACAUCUUUCACGUGUUUACAUCUAUCACACAACAGGUGGUCUUGCAGGCUAACAAAUGAUUGCAUCAUACUACAAUUCAGAAAUUACGUGAUUUACCUGUGCACAUGGAAAGUCCCAACUAGCUAUUACCAUGCAUACGAUGUUUUCUUCAGAUUUUAGUAUAUAUGUGCAUUUUUUUCACUCAGAGAAGGAAUCAUAUUCAAAUUAUCCUAAAUAACUUUCAAGAAAUGAGCUGACAAUGUUCAAGUCUAGAAAGGGAUGUGCAAGUAGUAGGUUUCCUAAUUUAAAUUAUCAGUGUUUAGAUAUUUACACUAGAGAAAGUUGGCUGAAACAUGUGCAAAAAUUAUUAAAAGUUUGGAAGUAUUAAUUUUUCUAACCUGCUUGGACUGUGUUAUUUGUGUAGUAGUACAGUCAAUUUAAUUAUUCUAGUAGUUGUAAUGUAAGUUGUUUUCAUUCAGAUAAAAUAUCAGUUUUUCUUCAACUCUGUGUUUAAUUCUACUCUCAGUUUAAAAAAAAAACGAUCCUGAUUUUAAUUAGUUAAUAAUUUACAAGUUAAUUAUCUUUGAUCUUGGGCUAAUUCUUGCAUAAUCAAUGCAAUCAAAUGACAGUUUCUCAAGUUAAAUCUUCUACCCUGACAGCCUGAGGCAUGUUAAUUAGCCAGGUGGCUGUGUGCUUGUGUUCAAGCGUGAAGUGAUUUCCUGUCGUGAAUUCACACUUGGUUGCGUUAUGUAAACAAGAGAUUAUCAGUAUGCACUGAAUAAACAGAACAGCUAAGGAAUAUUGCCUACACUGGGAAUAUUUAUUAAUUUUUUGUUAGGAAUUAAAAUAGGACAUGGCGCCGAGAAAAGGGGGCAUGGCUCUGUGCCUUGCUAUUUUGCUUUAGAUUUAACACUAAAUUGACCCUUCUUCUUGAACUUUAUGGUCUAUUAUACGGGUCAACUUGUAUACUAGUGAUUAAAAAAACAAAAACAAAACAAUAUGGCUGACCAGAAAUCUUUCUCAUCUGUAAUCGGAAAAUUUCUUAAAAACAAAAAUAACGAUUAUAAGAAAUGAUUCCUAAUAAUUAUUCUAGUAAUUAUCAAGGGUUUAUUAUAUUGAUUCCAUAUUACUUAUUAGACUUCGUACAUAAGUAAAUUUCCUUAGACUGUUAAAAAUAUUUUAUAUUUAAAAAUCGGCAAUCUUCGUAAAUAAGGAGCUAUUUGAUUGGUCAGAUUUUAAAAUUUUUCUUUGCUUUUCUCUGAUUGGUUAACGGUAAUUUACCCACGCCAUUUUGAAAAAUAGAUCGACGAACCGAAUUGAGAGAGUUGGUGAUGUUUAAUAAAAUUUAGCUAAUAUUCGCCGAUGAAAUUGGUAGAAAAUAGAUGUUUAGCUACAGCAUGUUAGCAUGGAUCACAUUUAUAAACAAAGAAAAGCGAAAACGGAAGGAGGUUGGCGUUUUUCAAGCAUCAUGCCCUGGCUUUCCUGGUGUAAACAACGCCAUAUGCGUUUGAGUGCCUCUGCAGAGCCAUAGAAGAAAAGCUGAUUAGUUAUACAGGAAUAGGACACCCACCCACCCUCCCACCCUACCCCUUGAGGCAUUACAGAUUAUGCAGGACCAAGCAGGAUGACAGUGAGAAAACUGGAGAUGUACUUCUUCAACAAAGUAAAGUGCUGUGCAAAAGAAACCCCAAAGCAGAGAGAAGAUCUAGACUUUUGAAUUCAUAUCUCAUUAUAAAUGUACAAUUUACAAAGACAAUAAGAUUGAUAAAACAUGACUUAGAAAUGAGGACAAUUGAAGAGUGAAUACUGUAUGUAAGACAGAAAAGAUCAAGAUAAUUGCACAAAAAGUAACUAAAUCAGUAAUCUAAAGACAUUUCUCUUUAAAAUCUGAUUGAAAGCUGCAUUUAAGAAAAAGUUUUUCACGUUUUUAGUACUUUUCUAGGCACUGCUUUGUAUUAUUUAAAGCUUUUUUACGUACUUUUUGUCUAUCAUUCUUGUACCUUUUUUGAACUCCUAAAUGUAUUUUUUUUGUAUUUUUCAGAAUGUAUUAUUUUUAGAUUUUUUUGUUUUAAAUGCGAUUUUAAUACAGAAAUAAUAGACUGAUACAAAAUUAAUACAUUUUGUAUUAUUUUCCUAUUUUUUUUUUCAAGGUGCUCCAAAUAAUACAGAAAUAAUAGACUGAUACAAAAUUAAUACAUUUUGUAUUAUUUUCCUAUUUUAAUUUUCAAGGUGCUCCAAAUGAUACAGAAAUAAUAGACUGAUACAAAAUUAAUACAUUUUGUAUUAUUUUCCUAUUUUUUUUCAAGGUGCUCCAAAUAAUACAGAAAUAAUAGACUGAUACAAAAUUAAUACAUUUUGUAUUAUUUUCCUAUUUUUUUCAAGGUGCUCCAAAUAAUACAGAAAUAAUAGACUGAUACAAAAUUAAUACAUUUUGUAUUAUUUUCCUAUCUUUUUUGUUCAAGGUGCUCCAAAUAAUACAGAAAAAAUACAUCAAGUGUAUUAUUUUUGUAUUUUUACUGAGAAAUAAAGUAUAUUAAAAAUAUAUUUUUUUGUGUUUCAUUUCUAAGAAAGUGUAUUAUUUUUGACCUAAUUUGGAACCAAGAUAAAAAGGGUUCCAAAUUUGGUCAUUAAAAAUAUACUUUUUUUGUAUUAUUUUUGUAUUAUUUUAAUCUAUUAUUUUUAUAUUUAUUUUCGAUAUGGGA